GACGAACGCUGGCGGCGUGCUUAACACAUGCAAGUCGAACGGAAAGGCCCUGCUUUUGUGGGGUGCUCGAGUGGCGAACGGGUGAGUAACACGUGAGUAACCUGCCCUUGACUUUGGGAUAACAUCAGGAAACUGGGGCUAAUACCGGAUAGGAGCUCCUGCUGCAUGGUGGGGGUUGGAAAGUUUCGGCGGUUGGGGAUGGACUCGCGGCUUAUCAGCUUGUUGGUGGGGUAGUGGCUUACCAAGGCUUUGACGGGUAGCCGGCCUGAGAGGGUGACCGGCCACAUUGGGACUGAGAUACGGCCCAGACUCCUACGGGAGGCAGCAGUGGGGAAUAUUGCACAAUGGGCGGAAGCCUGAUGCAGCAACGCCGCGUGCGGGACGACGGCCUUCGGGUUGUAAACCGCUUUCGCCUGUGACGAAGCGUGAGUGACGGUAAUGGGUAAAGAAGCACCGGCUAACUACGUG
rnacentral:rRNA from 1 species